UACAGAGGGUGCAAGCGUUGUUCGGAAUUAUUGGGCGUAAAGGGCGCGUAGGCGGUGCGGUAAGUCUGUAGUGAAAUCUCUGGGCUCAACUCAGAGUCUGCUGCAGAAACUGCCGUGCUUGAGUGUGGGAGAGGUGAGUGGAAUUCCUGGUGUAGCGGUGAAAUGCGUAGAUAUCGGGAGGAACACCUGAGGCGAAAGCGGCUCACUGGACCACAACUGACGCUGAGGCGCGAAAGCUAGGGGAGCAAACAGG
rnacentral:rRNA from 1 species